ACGUGACAAUAGUUCAGUUGGUAGAUCAUGCGACUCUUAAUCUCAGGUUUUUGGGUUUGAGCCCCAAGUUGGGCA